rnacentral:tRNA from 1 species
GGAUCUUUAGUAUAAAUUAGUAUGUUUGAUUGCAAAUCGAUAGGUUUAAGAUCUU